AGCUCAAGACCGACAGUGUAUAUUUAAAUUGGACCUCAUUGGAAAUGGGCUGGACUCCAGCCUAAUGGGCGUUCCUGAUGCUCAUUACGUGAUGUAGACAAAGAAGCCACAACUAUCAGGAAAUAAUAUCCGGACUCAAUCGUGAAAGGGCAACAGAACUUACCAAGUAUUCAUAGAUAGCCAAAAAUUGUGUCACUCAUCAAGCUUCCUGC